GAUGUAGUAGCUCCAUGGUGAAGUGCUUGCCUGGCGUGCAAAAAGCCCUGGGUUCGAUCCCCAGCACCACCA
rnacentral:tRNA from 1 species